rnacentral:sRNA from 1 species
GGCACAGCCCUUCCCUGGAAGUCAGUGUGAGACCCAAAGCAGUCCUCGGCCCAUCCGUUGCCUGGUUUUGUGCCAGCAGCCAUGUGGAGACCCGGGCCCACGCCGAGGAGCGGCU